rnacentral:rRNA from 1 species
AAUGGCAGGUCAGCAUACUGCCGUGAAUACGUUCCCGGGCCCGUUGUACACACCGCCCGUCCACACCAUGAGAGUUGGAAAUACCCGAAGCCUGUGAGCUAACUUAAAGAGGCAGCAGUCGAAGGUAGAGCCAAUGAUUGGGGUGAAGUCGUAACAAGGUACC